UUUUUUUUUUUUUUUUUUUUUUUCCUGGUUCUUC
rnacentral:ribozyme from 1 species